rnacentral:lncRNA from 1 species
AUGAUGGCCUCCAUAGAAUCUCAGAGUUACACAGAAGCCCUUAACCAUCCUGCAAUAGUGUCUGACAAAUCCAUCGACGCUAACCCUGCUUUGCUGAGACCCAACACGCAGGUGGAUCCUUCCUUUCAACGCUGUUUAGUGUCCUCAAGUCCAGCCUCAAGUAACAGUUCUGUGCCAGUGGGAGAACAGAAAGGUAGGAAAUGAUUGUCUGAUCUGAAUGUUUAGUUCUCAUUACUGUAGCUUCCAGCCAGUGUGUUACAUCUAAAUCUUCGUUGCAGACCAUUUGGCCACCAACUUUGAUGUGUAACCUGUCAUGAUGUUGUUGCCCACCAUCUGGAAAUUAUCUCUUUCAAAGAUGUUGCUUGUAUGUCUGAGAUGGAAC